UACGGAGGGUGCGAGCGUUGUUCGGAAUUACUGGGCGUAAAGCGCGUGUAGGCGGCCUGCUAAGUCUGAUGUGAAAGCCCGGGGCUCACCCCCGGAAGUGCAUUGGAAACUGGUAGGCUCGAGUCCCGGAGAGGAGGGUGGAAUUCCUGGUGUAGCGGUGAAAUGCGUAGAUAUCAGGAGGAACACCGGUGGCGAAGGCAGCCCUCUGGACGGUGACUGACGCUGAGGAGCGAAAGCAUGGGGAGCGAACAGG
rnacentral:rRNA from 1 species